rnacentral:rRNA from 1 species
UGGGGAAUAUUGGACAAUGGGCGCAAGCCUGAUCCAGCCAUGCCGCGUGUGUGAAGAAGGCCUUCGGGUUGUAAAGCACUUUUGUUGGGGAAGAAACCGGCCGGAUUAAUACUUCGGUUGAAUGACGGUACCCAAAGAAUAAGCACCGGCUAACUUCGUGCCAGCAGCCGCGGUAAUACGAAGGGUGCAAGCGUUACUCGGAAUUACUGGGCGUAAAGCGUGCGUAGGCGGUUGGUUAAGUCUGCUGUGAAAGCCCUGGGCUCAACCUGGGAACUGCAGUGGAUACUGGCCAGCUAGAGUGUGUCAGAGGAUGGUGGAAUUCCCGGUGUAGCGGUGAAAUGCGUAGAGAUCGGGAGGAACACCAGUGGCGAAGGCGGCCAUCUGGGACAACACUGACGCUGAGGCACGAAAGCGUGGGGAGCAAACAG